AAAUGAAUUGACGGGGGCCCGCACAAGCAGCGGAGCAUGUGGUUUAAUUCGAAGCAACGCGAAGAACCUUACCAGGUCUUGACAUCCAGCAAAAACCUAAGAGAUUAGGCGUUCCUUCGGGAGUGCUGAGACAGGUGGUGCAUGGUUGUCGUCAGCUCGUGUCGUGAGAUGUUGGGUUAAGUCCCGCAACGAGCGCAACCCUUAUCGUCCGUUACUAACAAGUAAGGUUGAGGACUCAGACGAGACCGCCGGGGACAACUCGGAGGAAGGUGGGGACGACGUCAAAUCAUCAUGCCCCUUACGACCUGGGCUACACACGUGCUACAAUGGGUACAACAAAGAGAAGCGAGACCGCAAGGUGGAGCCAAACUCAGAAAAGUACUCUCAGUUCAGAUUGUGGGCUGCAACCCGCCCACAUGAAGUUGGAGUUGCUAGUAAUCGCGGAUCAGCAUGCCGCGGUGAAUACGUUCCCGGGCCUUGUACACACCGCCCGU
rnacentral:rRNA from 1 species